rnacentral:rRNA from 1 species
GGCCGCGGGAAUUCGAUUCAGGCCUAACACAUGCAAGUCGAGCGGUAGAGAGAAGCUUGCUUCUCUUGAGAGCGGCGGACGGGUGAGUAAUGCCUAGGAAUCUGCCUGGUAGUGGGGGAUAACGUUCGGAAACGGACGCUAAUACCGCAUACGUCCUACGGGAGAAAGCAGGGGACCUUCGGGCCUUGCGCUAUCAGAUGAGCCUAGGUCGGAUUAGCUAGUUGGUGAGGUAACGGCUCACCAAGGCUACGAUCCGUAACUGGUCUGAGAGGAUGAUCAGUCACACUGGAACUGAGACACGGUCCAGACUCCUACGGGAGGCAGCAGUGGGGAAUAUUGGACAAUGGGCGAAAGCCUGAUCCAGCCAUGCCGCGUGUGUGAAGAAGGUCUUCGGAUUGUAAAGCAAUGUAAGUUGGGAGGAAGGGCAUUAACCCA